AAAUGGAAUGAUUCUGUUUCGUUUUUUUAUCGGCGUGAUCUUGCUUUUUUCAUCUAACCUGCAAAAGUAAAAAUGUUCGUGUGAUAAUGCUUUUGAUAUUCGCUUGUGAAUCACGCCAAUGGGCAAAAAGAAAUGGGCCCUGGUGAAACGGAAUGGGUUAUCAAUGAUUCCUUGUCUGUAUCCUAUCUCUAUGAUGAAGAGCAGGAUCUUUGCUUUGUAAAACCGCAUCUUUGGUAUGAAAAAAGAUGUAAAGCAGCGAG
rnacentral:misc_RNA from 1 species